rnacentral:rRNA from 1 species
UACGUAGGGAGCAAGCGUUGUCCGGAAUCAUUGGGCGUAAAGCGCGCGUAGGUGGCUUCGUAAGUCCGUUGUGAAAGUCAAAGGCUCAACCUUUGAAAGCCGAUGGAUACUGUGGAGCUAGAGUACGGAAGAGGCGAGUGGAAUUCCUGGUGUAGCGGUGGAAUGCGCAGAUAUCAGGAGGAACACCAAUAGCGAAGGCGAAUCUCUGGACAGUUACUGACACUGAGGCACGAAGGCCAGGGGAGCAAACGGG